UGAAAGUAAUGGUUCCCAUACAGUCACUGAAGUUAAGCAAUAUUGAGCCUGUCGGUACCAAGAUAGGUGACCGCUUGGGAAUAACAGGUGCUGUAAG